rnacentral:lncRNA from 1 species
UGCUUUUAUGAUGGGAUUUGUCUCUCUCUUAUUUUCAAAGAACGGAGACUAUCAAUAUUGAUGAAAUUGUUCAUCAUCAAGCAACAUCUUUGGCAUGCAACCGUGCUUGCAUUAAUCUUGUCAACCGAACCGUAUGUUCGUGAAUACUUGGCAUGUUCGUGAACGUGUUCUCACAUUUCUCAUUUUUGUCAUCAAGAAUAGUACGUAACUUUUUAAAAAAAAAAACUUUUGUUUGAUUCUCUACUAUAAAUUCCAAUCAAGCACAAUCAUAAAACAAUUAUAAACUAGUUCUUAUCUAUCUUUUGUAUAAACGUUUUUAGAUUACUUCUCCCAUAUAUAUUAUCAUGUAUCGAUCACUUCUCAAAGCAAAAAAAAAAUCUAUCUAUAAAAGGUAAAAUUUUCCCAAAAGUUUUUUUUUGGUAAAAAAAAAUGCCCAAGAGUUUAGCUACUAGUUUUGUAUUUUGUUGUUAUCAUUAGUUCAUAACGUUAGUGUAUUAUCACUUGUAAUCCAUAAAAUUUAUUUACAUUCUUUUAAAUUAUAUGAUAAAAAGUAAACAUAAGAAUUAGACAAUUGCAUUAAAAUCUCAUAAAAUACUACAAAAGUUAUUACUUGUGAAUUCUUUCAAAUUCCCGAAU